rnacentral:rRNA from 1 species
GAUUAACGCUAGCGGCAGGCCUAAUACAUGCAAGUCGAACGGCAGCACGGGUAGCAAUACCUGGUGGCGAGUGGCGCACGGGUGCGUAACACGUAUGCAAUCUACCUUUAACUGGGGAAUAACCCCUCGAAAGAGGGGCUAAUACCGCAUAACACUUCGAUGGGACAUCCCAAUGAAGUCAAAACCUACGGGGGUUAAAGAUGAACAUGCGUCCGAUUAGCUAGUUGGCGAGGAACGGCUCACCAAGGCAACGAUCGGUAGGGGAUCUGAGAGGAUGAUCCCCCACACUGGUACUGAGACACGGACCAGACUCCUACGGGAGGCAGCAGUAAGGAAUAUUGGACAAUGGGCGCAAGCCUGAUCCAGCCAUGCCGCGUGCAGGAUGAAAGUGCUAUGCACUGU